ensembl:misc_RNA
GAAGGCAGCUGUCAGCUGUGUUAAGGGGAAGCCACUGUUAAGGAGAAACCAAAGUGGUGUUUGGAGUCCUGUUGUCAGUGUGGGUUCAGCCUGCAGGCUGAGCCCUGGGAGCAAACUGGGCAUUGACUCCAUCCACUGGGAUGGAGAGAGAAGCCAGAGGCCUUGACAGUGAGGACCCCCAGGG